rnacentral:rRNA from 1 species
UACUCGAGUGGCGAACGGGUGAGUAACACGUGGGUGAUCUGCCCUGCACUUCGGGAUAAGCUUGGGAAACUGGGUCUAAUACCGGAUAGGAACCAUCUUUAGUGUGGUGGUCGGAAAGUUUUUUCGGUGUAGGAUGAGCUCGCGGCCUAUCAGCUUGUUGGUGGGGUAAUGGCCUACCAAGGCGGCGACGGGUAGCCGGCCUGAGAGGGUGUACGGCCACAUUGGGACUGAGAUACGGCCCAGACUCCUACGGGAGGCAGCAGUGGGGAAUAUUGCACAAUGGGCGCAAGCCUGAUGCAGCGACGCCGCGUGGGGGAUGAAGGCCUUCGGGUUGUAAACUCCUUUCGCUAGGGACGAAGCUUUUUGUGACGGUACCUAGAUAAGAAGCACCGGCUAACUACGUGCCAGCAGCCGCGGUAAUACGUAGGGUGCGAGCGUUGUCCGGAAUUACUGGGCGUAAAGGGCUCGUAGGUGGUUUGUCGCGUCGUCUGUGAAAUUCUGGGGCUUAAUCUCCGGGCGUGCAGGCGAUACGGGCAUAACUUGAGUGCUGUAGGGGUAACUGGAAUUCCUGGUGUAGCGGUGAAAUGCGCAGAUAUCAGGAGGAACACCGAUGGCGAAGGCAGGUUACUGGGCAGUUACUGACGCUGAGGAGCGAAAGCAUGGGUAGCGAACAGGA